rnacentral:rRNA from 1 species
AAUUAAUAAUUAGGCAAAUAAUUAGUUUUCAGCUGUUUAUCAAAAACAUAGUUUAAAGAAAAAAAUUUUAGAUAAGUUCUGCUCAAUGAUAAAUCUUAAAUAGCUGCAGUAAAUUAACUGUACUAAGGUAGCAUAAUAAAUUGCUUUAUAAUUCAAAGCUUGAAUGAAGGAAAAAAUGAAAAACUAACUUUUUUAACUAAAAUAGUACAAAUUAAUAUUUAAGUGAAAAAUCUUAAAUUAAAUCAAAAGACAAGAAGACCCUUUAGAAUUUAACAAUUAAAAUUAAUUUUAAUUAAAUAUAAUUUGUUAAAUUGGGGAGAUUUUUAAAUAAAUAAAUCUUUUAAUAUAAUAAAAUGAAUUUAAUCAAAUUAAAUUAUCCAAAUAAGAAAUAAACUAAAUUACCUAAGGGAUAACAGCGUAAAAUUUUUGAGAAGAUCAAAUUCCCAAAAUAAAUUACGACCUCGAUGUUGGAUUAAGAAUAACUUAUAGAGAAGAAUUUAUAAGAAUUGGUCUGUUCGCCCAGUAACUCUUACAUGAUCUGAGUUCAGACCGGCGUAAGCCAGGUCAGUUUAUAUCUUUGAUUAUAUAUUUCUAUACUACAGUACGAAAGGAUCUAG